CAGGUGCAAAUUCGCGGCGAAUUUUUCUGGCGGCAACAAUUAAUCGGACGCCCAUUGACUUUAAUGAAUUUUGCACGAAAUUCCCGAAACGGGCAAAAGCCAAAAACAGGAGCAGAUUUGUAGGACUGCAAUAAAUGCCCAGCUCUGGGGCAGCACGUUCUUUAGAAGCUUUGGGCCACUGCUAUACUCGGCAUGAGAGUACAUCUGAUAAAAACCAGGAAUUAGGAUGGAAAAAGUGAGCUGCACUAAAUACAGGACAGGAAAUUCAAACUGCUAUCAAAAUCUCCUGCUCACCCAGCUGCCAGUACCGAGGCAACUUUAACCUGGAAACGUGCCAGAAUAAGUCGAAAAUCACAAAAUCGAACCCUCUUGCAGAGAGAUUAAGGAUUUAAUUAAUAUGUCUCGCCCUGGAGGCUUGUGUCUACUGGGACAGGCAAAGGAAACAAAAAAUAAGUUGUAUAAGCUGUAGAUAAUUUUUUGAAGUUGUAGAACCUAAUAGAACUAGUAUAACAAGAGCCAUUAUUUAGCUGUCAGUCAAAGCAUUGUAUUCAAAGACUUUUUCAGUUCCUUAUUUCGUGUUUUCCAAUAUCUUAGCAAUGAUAUCAUAAUUGUUUGGAUAGGUGCAGCAAAUACCUUUAUCUAAUGCAAUGUUAGACUUCAGUGUUUGUAAAGGCCUGUUCUGAUACUGUGUAAUUGCUAAUUAAGCCAUGCCGUUUUAGAUCAACAUCUCUUCAUGGGGCAUACUUAUAAAGGUGUCUAAAAAAACUGGCGUUGAAAUAUACCACACAUAGCCAAUUUAACUACAUGAUAUACUGUGUAAAUGUCCACAUAUUUUCAAAGCUCUGUAAUGAAUUUUAGCAGAUAAAGUGGAGUUAGAUAUGCGGCCUAAUUAUUUUAUUUUAGUUCUGUUAAUGCUUUUGUAUGGGAGAAUAAUGUUAUGCAAGAGUUGAGUAUAGGAAGAGUGUUAUUGUUGGUAUGUAUGGUGCAAGGAAAGAUGUGAGGACACUGGGGAUGGGGCUAUUUUUUAAAGUCCAAAUGUUAAAAACCCAAAAAAAUCUGAGUGGAAAAAAAAAACUUGAAUCUUUUGAGAUUUAUUAUUCCCAGAGGCUGCAAAAAGUUAGAAUCCGAAAGUCCUCCAUCUUAGACCUGCAGAGGUUGUAAAUAAUAA